UCAAACUGUCAGAAAGUGUUCGCAAACGAACAGAGAAUGGUACUGCAGGUGGCACUACAUUUUAUAUUGUACUUAGAUGAAAUAAAAUCAAUACAGUGACAG